rnacentral:rRNA from 1 species
UACAGAGGUCCCAAGCGUUGUUCGGAUUCAUUGGGCGUAAAGGGUGCGUAGGUGGCGCCGUAAGUGGGGGUGUGAAAUUUCGGAGCUUAACUCCGAAACUGCAUUCCAUACUGCGGUGCUUGAGGACUGGAGAGGAGACUGGAAUUUACGGUGUAGCAGUGAAAUGCGUAGAGAUCGUAAGGAAGACCAGUGGCGAAGGCGGGUCUCUGGACAGUUACUGACGCUGAUGCACGAAGGCCAGGGGAGCAAACGGG